CAUUGCUAUCGGAGUCCGAUUUAGCCAUGCUAGUUGCACGAGUUCACACUCGUAGCAUAUAGCUCAGUAACACGUGGUCAAGCUACCCUGCAGACACGGACAACCUCGGGAAACUGAGGCUAAUCCGCGAUACCGAUCCCACGCUGGAAUGCCGGGAUCCACAAACGCUCCGGCGCUGCAGGAUGCGGCUGCGGCCGAUUAGGUAGACGGUGGGGUAACGGCCCACCGUGCCGAUAAUCGGUACGGGUUGUGAGAGCAAGAGCCCGGAGACGGAAUCUGAGACAAGAUUCCGGGCCCUACGGGGCGCAGCAGGCGCGAAACCUUUACACUGCACGCAAGUGCGAUAAGGGGACUCCGAGUGCGAGGGCAUAUAGUCCUCGCUUUUGAGAACCGUAAGGCGGUUCUCGAAUAAGAGCUGGGCAAGACCGAUAAAAAGCCGCCGCGGUAAUACCGGCAGCUCAAGUGAUGGCCAAUCUUAUUGGGCCUAAAGCGUCCGUAGCUGGCCACGAAAGUCCGUCGGGAAAUCCAUCUGCCCAACAGAUGGGCGUCCGGCGGAAACUUCGUGGCUUGGGACCGGAAGGCUCGAGGGGUACGUCCGGGGUAGGAGUGAAAUCCCGUAAUCCUGGACGGACCGCCGAUGGCGAAAGCACCUCGAGAAGACGGAUCCGACAGUGAGGGACGAAAGCUAGGGUCUCGAACCGGAUUAGAUACCCGGGUAGUCCUAGCCGUAAACAAUGUU
rnacentral:rRNA from 1 species